rnacentral:lncRNA from 1 species
UUUUUUUACAUAUUUUAAUAGCUUUAUAGUUUGACAUUUUUAUAUUGUAUUUUACAAGACUAAACUCACUUCGAGAAAUAGGAAUUCCAUUACCAGAGCACCUAAGAACCGAAUUCAACUUGUCUUUGUACUUUGAGGCUUGUACUUUGCGGUUGGUUGGGUGACGAAGGUUGCUAUUGUAACGUGAAUUGCUUUCUUGAUAAAGUUUUUUCUUUUGAUAUAUUUUUUUUUAUGAUUUUGACUUUGUUUUAUAUAACUUUUAUUUCUUGGUGAUGCAAUUUUUCUUAAUAUAAUGUAAUAACUUGACUUCUAAACUUAUCUGAUUUUGUAGUAUUACGAAGGGGUUGUUUAAGUUAUAAACUAUGGUAAUUUUCUUGUUUUAUAUGGUGUUUUACAACACUAAACUCACAUGUUAGAACUUGUGACCCUGUUACAAGAACACUUAAAAACCCAUCCCAAUUGUUUUGUACUUUGAGGCUUGUACUUUGCAGUUGAUUGGGCGUACGUAGGUUGUGUUUGUAGCAUGGAUUGCUUUCUUAAUGGAAGUUCUUCCUCUGUUAUUUUCAACUUUUUUUUAUGGUAAUGAGAAACUUUAGAUGUAAUUUACGUUUAUUUUUGUUUGAAACUUCUUUGAAUCUCUUUGAUUUUACGUUUUCUUCUUAGCUACAUGGUUUAAUGUUCGUACUGAGAAAUUGUUUCAUGGAGAAAUUGUUUUAAUGUUUUCACCCUCCCAUAUUAUUGGAGAUGUUUUAUAUACUUAAUUUUGUAUGUGUUUUGUUACUUUUCAAUAAUGAUGCUAUGGUUUGACAGUUUUUUAUAGUAUUUUACAAGACUAAAUUGGCAUUCGAGAAAUAGGAAUGCCGUUACUAGCGCACCUAAAAACCCAAUUGCACUUGUCUUGGUACUUUGAGGCUUGUACUUUGCGGUUGAUUGGGCGACGAAGGUUGCCACUGUAACGUGAAUUGCCUUCUUGAUAAAGUUCAUCCUGUUGAUAUUCUAUUUUUUGUCGAUUUUGACUAUGUUACCAUCAUAAUUUUUAUUUUAUAUAGUUUAAUAACUUUGUGGGUUAAAAAUUUUCUAUGGUUUUUACAAGACUGAGUUCACUUCGAGAAAUAGGAAUGGUGUUUCCAGAGCACCUAAGAACCCAAUUCGACUUGUCUUUGUACUUUGAGGCUUGUACUUUGCAGUUGAUUGGAUGACGAAGGUUGCUAGUGUAACAUAAAUUUCUUUCUUGAUGAAGUUCUUUCUUUUGAUAUUCUAUUUUUUUAUGAUUUUGACUAUGUCAUUUAUAUAACUUUUAUUUCUUGGUGAUGAGAUUUUUUUUAUACAACAUAAUAGCCUUGUGGUUUGAUAGUUUUAUAUGGUAUUUUACAAAAUUGAACUCAUAUUCAAGAGCUACGCAUGCAUUACUAGAGUAUCUUAGAACCCAUCUCAACUUGUCUUUGUACUUUGAGGCUUGUACUUUGCGGUUGAAUGGGUGACAAAGGUUGCUACUGUGGUGUGAAUUGCUUUCUUGAUAAAGUUCUUUUCGUUGAACUUCUAUUUUUGAUUGUUAUAUUCAUAACUCAUAUUUCUUAGUAAGGAUAUUUUUUUUUUAAUAUAAUGCAUUAGCUCUUUUGCCUGACAGUUUUAUAUGCUAUUUUACAAGACUGAACUCACAUUCGAGAAAUUGUAAUCCCGUUACUAAAGCACCUAAAAGCCCAUUUCAGUUUGUUUUUGUACUUUGAGGCUUGUACUUUGCGGUUGACUGGGUGAUGAAGGUUGUUAUUGUAGCGUGGAUUGCUUUCUUGGUGAAGUUCUUUCUGUUGAUAUUCUGUUUUUAAUGAGAUUCUUUCAUAUAGUUUAAAUAGCUUUGUGGUUUGACAAUUUUAUAUGGUAUACUAUAAGAUUAAACUCACAUUUGAGAAAUAGGAAUGCUGUUACUAGAGCUACCUAUAUAAUAUCGGCUAAGACUAUAAACCCAUUUCAACCAUUUUUGAUGAUUUUAACUAUGUUAUUUUCAUAACCUUUAUUUCUUGGUAUUGAGAUUUUUUUUAGAUAUAUUGUAAUAGAUUUGUGGUUUGACAGUUUUUAUAAUAUUUACAAAAGUGAACUCACACCUGAGAACUAGGCCUGCUGUUACUAAAGCACCUAAGAACACAUUUCAACCUGUCUUUGUAUAAAACUUGCAGCUUUUAUGUUUUUAACUUUUUCUGCUGUUUUUAUUCUUUUUUGAAGAUACGAACGAUUGUACUUCUAUUGUUGUUUUUACUUGUUUUUUUUUUUCUGGGGGAUAUGAAUAGCAAAUCAAGAUGGAACACUUCUUACUCAAAUUAAGAGGUAAGGUACUAAAUGUUCAAAAGUUUCAUUAAUCUUGUGAUCAGAUUCUACAUUUUUUUGUAGAAUCGCAAUGUUCUGCUAUAUAUAUAGUACUAAAUGUCAUUAAACUUAUGAUCGGAUACUUCAUUUUCUUGGUGCGAAGGGACCAAAGACCUUAGGUCCUAGCAUAUACAUAAGGCAUAUAUAUAAUUGUGUCAUUUUUGAUCAUGGAGUGAUCUAGGCGAGUGCUGUAAGCACAUUGUGCUAAGUUGGUGUGAUGGUUGGUUCUUUGAAGGUGGACUUGAAUAUAUAUAUUUUACUGCAACCCCAUACAUUUGGCGUUUUGAGGAGUUGCGUGUAUGAUGAUGAGAUGCUUCUGAAGCAGAAACAAGUCAUCGAAUGCCCUUCCAUAUGAUACAUCUGGUCAAACCUUAUGGCAUUUGAGAAACCAUAAGGAGCCCCACCUCAGCUGUUGGCAGAUUUUCUAACGCCUUGAAGUUUAUCGUCGAAGAGUCCUCAGCCCCCUGGAGCUUAACGGAAACUGAAACAGAUUAUGCAAUAAUGCUAUGACGCACAUAUUCGACAAACUUGUCUCGAAGUACAGUACUGGGGCAGUUACUGACUUACUGGAUAUGUCAUAUAGUUGUCAUAGAUGCUUUUAAAGCGGAAGAAUUUGCUGAGGUGGCAACGAAGCCUCUGAAAGCCCUUCCAUAUGACACACCUGGUUGAAGUUUAUGGCAUUUGAGUACCCCAUAAGGGGUCCCAGCUCAUCUGUUGGCAGAUUUUUGACAUGUUGAAGUUUAUCGUCAAAGAGGUCCCUAAACUUGUAUGAAAAAAAAGAUGCAAGCAUUAGCCAAAUUGGGAAGUGAACAUGUUAGAAAAUAUCUUCAUUUGCCUUUUUGAUGAAGUUCAACGCGUGACAAGUGUAAAUGUAGGGGUGACAAGUGUAAUACAAAGAUGCUGUUAGUGGAUUAUAUAGAUGCUGCAUGUGCAAAUUUGAUGAAGUUCAACGCGUGAACUUUUUCCUGAGUGAAGUUUCACGCGUGGAACUUAAUGGUGGUGGCGGUGUUCCGAUGCUCAUCACUCGUGAUGGAACCUCCAUCAAGGACCACCCCCAGUCCCCUUAUUAGUUAAACAAUGUAAAAGAAGGUUGUGAAUGUAUGAGAUUGCUUUGACAAUUUGAAACUUUCCUUUUUUAUGUACUCGUUAAACCUUUUCUUUAUUAAGAAAAUUCAGUUUCUCUU